rnacentral:lncRNA from 1 species
AGAACAUUUGACCUCAGUCAGACACAUGGACAUAUGCUAGCAGUUGAGUAGCAUGAAAAAUCAGUGGUACAGGGACCUAGCAAAUGCCUUGGCCUGAUUUUCUAAUCUGUGCAUUUGUAUCCAAGGAGAAGAAGCAAAAAAAUCAGUGGGAGAGGAGGAGUCACCACAUGAAUGAUUCACUACACGGAGGAAAACAAUUAGGACACUGGACCAAGCAAGAGGCAGCUGAAACUGUGAACUCCUACCCGGUGGGAAGGUCAACGUGUGGUACUCCUUAUCUCCUGAAGACAAAAUAGUAAUAAAACAUGCAAGGGAAGAAGAAGGAAUGUAUGAAAUAGCAAGAGAGAGAAGUGGUGGAAGAGAUGAAGACAACAAGGCCCUGGCUCCGCUUCCAGUUCAGCCGUGGGGCCCCUCCUGCCCCGGCGCACAAGGAGCGCGACACUUCUGCUCUCCAGUGAAUAGCUGGAAGAAGCGGCGCACAUGUUUGGGAUUACACAGCCCAUAUGGCAGCCCAGCUUGCCUCCAACUCCCUUCUGCUUCCUCCAAGAAGAGCUCUGUGAACCUCACCAGCUCUGGAAAAGCAGCCUAUGGCCCUCUGAGCCUGCGUGGGCAAUGCAACAUCCUUCAAGUUUUGGGGAAUGCGUGUUGCCUGCAUCCACGGCAGAUGUUUGCAAGCAUGUGGUGCACCUAAUCUUGAGGACAACCUCCAGAAGUUGUGCGUGUUUUUGUUUCCAUCCUGCAGUUUACCAUGGAGCAACCCAAGCCAAAGAAGUAUGACCAAGGUGCGCUGACACAGCUGCUACCCCAUGCUGCCUGUCCUGUCCCUCUGUACAGCCAAGCUACCUCAUCACAGCUUUACAUUUAAAGCAAGCUGAGUUUGGUGUUGUUUUACCCUAAAAGCUCGGAUUUGGUGAUGCUGGAUCUGGGGUUGUUCAAGCACUGCCAGAUGAGCAGCCAAGACGUAUGUGCAACGAGGCCACAGCACAGACAAAUCAUCUGCAGCCAUCACAGUUCUCCUGGGGAAGGAUCCUCCAAAUCCCAACACAAACCAAAAAAUGGGUAAUUUAUAGGUACUUGUGAGUUUCAGGACAAUCAAGUGUUUUGGUAUAAAUGAACAGACAUAGUCAUGAACUACAGUAAAAGCCCUGCUGAGGCCUCCUCCAUUCUGUAACCAACCCAGCACCCAGUAAGGCAUCAGAUGGUGUGGUUGUUUGCCCUCAGCAUUCAGUCUGGUUUCCUAACCACAGCAUCCAAAAAGAAAACAAGAAAAAAAAAAAAAAAAAAGAAAGAAAGAAAAAAGAAACCUUAAGAUGAAGAAAACAUCUCAGAAAUGCAACAAGAGCAAAGGGAGAUUUUAUCAGCUUCUCUGCUUCCACCCACUCUCCAGCUAUGGAGUUAAAAUAUGGGGUUGGUCCAGGAAGCAAUAUACAUCAGAAUUAAAGACCCAGGAUAUUUGCCCAUCAGUAUAAGCCAAAUGAGAGACACACCAAACAUCACAAAGAAUCCCAAAAGCAAAGAAACAUCUUGUGCACUCAGCGAGCAAAAAGUUCCUAUUUUAUGCAAUGUCUCCUUGCCUGUGAUCUGAAAUGUUUGCAGCAUAGCUUAAUAAAUUGUCAUAGGUAUAAACA